UACGUAGGGUGCAAGCGUUGUCCGGAAUUAUUGGGCGUAAAGAGCUCGUAGGCGGUUUGGCAAGUUGGGUGUGAAAACUCCAGGCUCAACCUGGAGAUGCCACCCAAGACUGCUAUGACUUGAGUCUGGUAGGGGAGCACGGAAUUCCUGGUGUAGCGGUGAAAUGCGCAGAUAUCAGGAGGAACACCGGUGGCGAAGGCGGCUACCUGGACCGGAUCUGACGCUGAUGCGCGAAAGCGUGGGGAGCAAACAGG
rnacentral:rRNA from 1 species